rnacentral:rRNA from 1 species
GACGAACGCUGGCGGCGUGCUUAACACAUGCGAGUCGAACGGAAAGGCCCUGCUUUUGUGGGGUGCUCGAGUGGCGAACGGGUGAGUAACACGUGAGUAACCUGCCCUUGACUUUGGGAUAACUUCAGGAAACUGGGGCUAAUACCGGAUAGGAGCUCCUGCUGCAUGGUGGGGGUUGGAAAGUUUCGGCGGUUGGGGAUGGACUCGCGGCUUAUCAGCUUGUUGGUGGGGUAGUGGCUUACCAAGGCUUUGACGGGUAGCCGGCCUGAGAGGGUGACCGGCCACAUUGGGACUGAGAUACGGCCCAGACUCCUACGGGAGGCAGCAGUGGGGAAUAUUGCACAAUGGGCGGAAGCCUGAUGCAGCGACGCCGCGUGCGGGAUGACGGCCUUCGGGUUGUAAACCGCUUUCGCCUGUGACGAAGCGUGAGUGACGGUAAUGGGUAAAGAAGCACCGGCUAACUACGU